rnacentral:rRNA from 1 species
ACGCUGGCGGCGUGCCUAAUACAUGCAAGUCGAACGGCUUUUCUAUGGAAGCUUGCUUCCAACUGAGAAGAUAGUGGCGAACGGGUGAGUAACACGUGGGUAACCUGCCCAUAAGAGGGGGGAUAACAUCCGGAAACGGGUGCUAAUACCGCAUAGUUUUCUUGAUCGCAUGAUCGGGAAAGGAAAGACGGCCUUUGUGCUGUCGCUUAUGGAUGGACCCGCGGCGUAUUAGUUAGUUGGUGAGGUAACGGCUCACCAAGACGAUGAUACGUAGCCGACCUGAGAGGUGAUCGGCCACAUUGGGACUGAGACACGGCCCAAACUCCUACGGGAGGCAGCAGUAGGGAAUCUUCCGCAAUGGACGAAAGUCUGACGGAGCAACGCCGCGUGAGUGAAAGAAGGUUUUCGGAUCGUUAAAACUCUGUUGUCAGAGAAGAACAAGUUGGAGAGUAACUGCUCCAGCCUUGACGGUAUCUGACCAGAAAGCCACGGCUAACUACGUGCCAGCCGCGGC